UACAGAGGGUGCGAGCGUUAAUCGGAAUCACUGGGCGUAAAGCGUGCGUAGACGGUUAUUUAAGUCGGGUGUGAAAGCCCCGGGCUCAACCUGGGAAUUGCAUUCGAGACUGAAUAGCUAGGGUACGGUAGAGGGAAGCGGAAUUUCCGGUGUAGCGGUGAAAUGCGUAGAUAUCGGAAGGAACAUCAGUGGCGAAAGCGGCUUCCUGGACCAGUACCGACGUUCAGGCACGAAAGCGUGGGGAGCAAACAGG
rnacentral:rRNA from 1 species